rnacentral:piRNA from 1 species
UCCCAAUCUCGUCAUUCGUUAGUUGCCUGU